rnacentral:snRNA from 1 species
AAAGCCAGAGGAAACUCUGGUG